UACAGAGGUCCCAAGCGUUGUUCGGAUUCACUGGGCGUAAAGGGUGCGUAGGUGGCGGGGUAAGUUUGAUGUGAAAUCUCCGGGCUUAACCCGGAAACUGCAUUGAAUACUAUUCUACUCGAGGUUUGGAGGGGGGACUGGAAUUCUCGGUGUAGCAGUGAAAUGCGUAGAUAUCGAGAGGAACACCAGUGGCGAAGGCGAGUCCCUGGACAACACCUGACACUGAGGCACGAAAGCUAGGGGAGCAAACAGG
rnacentral:rRNA from 1 species